rnacentral:rRNA from 1 species
AGCGAACGCUGGCGGCAGGCUUAACACAUGCAAGUCGAGCGGGCGUAGCAAUACGUCAGCGGCAGACGGGUGAGUAACGCGUGGGAACGUACCUUUUGGUUCGGAACAACACAGGGAAACUUGUGCUAAUACCGGAUAAGCCCUUACGGGGAAAGAUUUAUCGCCGAAAGAUCGGCCCGCGUCUGAGUAGCUAGUUGGUGUGGUAAUUGCUCAACAAGGCGACGAUCACUAGCUGGUCUGAGAGGAUGAUCAGCCACAUUGGGACUGAGACACGGCCCAAACUCCUACGGGAGGCAGCAGUGGGGAAUAUUGGACAAUGGGGGCAACCCUGAUCCAGCCAUGCCGCGUGAGUGAUGAAGGCCCUAGGGUUGUAAAGCUCUUUUGUGCGGGAAGAUAAUGACGGUACCGCAAGAAUAAGCCCCGGCUAACUUCGUGCCAGCCGCCGCCGUAAUAC